CCCUUAGAUGUUCUGGGCCGCACGCGCGCUACACUGAUUCAUGCAACAAGUUUUGUCCUUGGUUGAUAGGCCUGGGUAAUCUUUGAACGUGAAUCGUGAUGGGGAUAGAUGAUUGCAAUUAUUCAUCUUCAACGAGGAAUUCCUAGUAAACGCAAGUCAUCAGCUUGCAUUGAUUACGUCCCUGCCCUUUGUACACACCGCCCGUCGCACCUACCGAUUGAAUGGUCCGGUGAAAUCUUCGGAUCUGAGAGAUGUCUGAUUAAUUUCGGACGCCUUUUGGAAAAGUUGUUUAAACCUUACCAUUUAGAGGAAGGUGAANUCGUAACA
rnacentral:rRNA from 1 species